rnacentral:rRNA from 1 species
UACGGGGGGAGCAAACGUUGUUCGGAAUCACUGGGCUUAAAGGGCGUGUAGGCGGCUGAAUAAGUGGGAUGUUAAAUCCCCCGGCUCAACCGGGGACCUGCAUCUCAUACUGUUCAGCUCGAGCACAUCAGAGGAGACUGGAAUUCCAGGUGUAGCGGUGAAAUGCGUAGAUAUCUGGAGGAACACCGGUGGCGAAGGCGGCGUCCUGGACCAAUACUGACACUGAUGAGCGAAAGCCAGGGGAGCAAACGGG